CGAAAGAAGCUUCGUAACCCUAGCCGCCGCCAUCUCACGCGGCCCUUCUCCCCCCUCGUGUCUCACUCGUCGCCUUCAUCCUCACGCCCCUUCCUCCUCGUGAUGUCGUCUCUAUUUUGUGGCUCUGUCUGCAUUGUCGUCGUCUUCGUCGUCUCUCUCUCUCUCUCACGCCGAAACCCUAGCCUCCUCUACCGAUCAAAGCCUCGUUUUCAUCCACGGAGAAGGGAGAAAUUGAGAGAGGACAGCAAUGGUGUGCGAAAAGUUAGGGGAGUGCAGGUGAGAAAAAGCUAUCAAAGGUGAUAGUUCCGAACAAAUGGAAAGAAGGGGCGAGCAACACCACCGAAGGCGGUGGCUGCAAGAUCAACGAGAACAAGCUCCUCUCCAAAAAGAAGAAAAAAAAACUGGGUUCAAUCCGGAACCCGGAAUCUGGGUUUUACAAAAUCCGGGUUCAUCUGGGUUCCGGCCCAAAUCUGAUUCGGGCUAAUCCGGUUCGGGUUCCAGCCAGGGUUUUAAAUCCAAAUUCCUGUUUGGGUAUAUCUGGAUUUCCAGGUCGAAACCCGGAUGAACAACCCUAGUCAGGAUCGAUGAUAUUAAUCUCGUGAAUGGCAAAGAUCAGCUGAUCCAAAUGUGUUAGCCACUUUUCAAACUUAAGAGAUCAUGCAGCUUACUUUGUUGAAAUUUAUUAAAAUUCAAUUUGUUAUUUUUAAGUUAAAUAAUUUUAUCAUCUCUAAUCAUAUUUUGGAGAUCAUGUAUUGCAUUUUAGUUGUGCCUCUUACGACUAGGGAUAACAACAUCUAAGAUUAAAAAUAUCAUUUCUUGAAUAAUAGUGAUAGAUCAUAUGAA